rnacentral:rRNA from 1 species
UACGGAAGCAGCAGUGGGGAAUAUUGCACAAUGGGCGCAAGCCUGAUGCAGCCAUGCCGCGUGUAUGAAGAAGGCCUUCGGGUUGUAAAGUACUUUCAGUCGUGAGGAAGGUGUUAAGGUUAAUAACCUUAGCAAUUGACGUUAGCGACAGAAGAAGCACCGGCUAACUCCGUGCCAGCAGCCGCGGUAAUACGGAGGGUGCGAGCGUUAAUCGGAAUUACUGGGCGUAAAGGGCACGCAGGCGGUUAAUUAAGUUGGAUGUGAAAUCCCCGGGCUUAACCUGGGAAUGGCAUUCAAGACUGGUUAGCUAGAGUCUUGUAGAGGGGGUAGAAUUCCAGUGUGUAGCGGUGAAAUGCGUAGAGAUGUGGAGGAAUACCGGUGGCGAAGGCGGCCCCUGGACAAACGACUGACGCUCAUGUGCGAAAGCGUGGGGAGCGAAA